AUUGAACGCUGGCGGCAGGCCUAACACAUGCAAGUCGAGCGGAUGAAGGGAGCUUGCUCCUGGAUUCAGCGGCGGACGGGUGAGUAAUGCCUAGGAAUCUGCCUGGUAGUGGGGGAUAACGUCCGGAAACGGGCGCUAAUACCGCAUAGGUCCUGAGGGAGAAAGUGGGGGAUCUUCGGACCUCACGCUAUCAGAUGAGCCUAGGUCGGAUUAGCUAGUUGGUGGGGUAAAGGCCUACCAAGGCGACGAUCCGUAACUGGUCUGAGAGGAUGAUCAGUCACACUGGAACUGAGACACGGUCCAGACUCCUACGGGAGGCAGCAGUGGGGAAUUUUGGCCAAUGGGCGAAAGCCUGAUCCAGCAAUGCCGCGUGUGUGAAGAAGGUCUUCGGAUUGUAAAGCACUUUAAGUUGGGAGGAAGGGCAGUAAGUUAAUACCUUGCUGUUUUGACGUUACCAGCAGAAUAAGCACCGGCUAACUUCGUG
rnacentral:rRNA from 1 species